AGGUCUGCAUUCUUAAGUCACCAAAUGUGGUGCCUCAAGUUCCCAUAAUAACAUAAACACUUCAGCCAACAGAAAAAAGGAAAGACGUGGUGGAAAUAGCAAAAGAACUAGAAGUGGACCCUGAAGAUGUGACAGAAUUACUGCCAUCCCAUAAUCAAACUUGAAUAGAUGAGGAGUUGAUUCUUCUGGACCAGCAAAGAGUGGUUUCUUGAGAUGGAAUCUACUCCAGGUGAAGAUGCUCUGGAGAAUGUUGAAAUGACAACAAAGGAUUUAGAAUAUUACAUAAACUUAGUUGAUAAAGUAGAGGCAGAGCUUGAGAGCAUGGACUCCACUUUUGAAAGAAGUUCUACUGUAGGUAAAAUGCUAUCAAACAGCAUCACAGGCUACAGAGAAAUUGUUCAUGAAAGGAAGAGUCAAUCAGUGUGGCAAACUUCAUUGUUGUCUUAUUAAGAAGCCACCCUAACCUUCAGCAACCAUCACCCUCAUCAGUCAGCAACCAUCAAUAUCGAGGCAAGACUUUCUACCAGCAUAAAAGGCAAUAAUUUGCUGAGAACUCAAAUGACAGCAUUAUUAGAAAAACAAUAUUUUUUCAAUUAAGGGUGAUCAUCUAAUCACUGUGAAAACCUGUUUGUUGAGACUGCAUUAAGACAGAAUUGUAAGGGCCUCUCAGAAACAGAAAUGAAGGUAUGCAGGAAGGAGCAAGCAGGUGUUGGUCUAGCAAAGAGAGGGAAGGUGAGCUAUUUUCCCAAAUGACGCUAUGUUCAAGACUCAACACAAAGGUAGAGAAUGAAGGGAAGACUGACUUUAUGAUGCAGAGACUCAAGAAACUGAAGUCAUGAAGCUUCAAGAAGGUUUGAAAAAUUGAAGGAAUAUGUAACUAGUUAAGAUUUUUGCUAAUUAUUUGGGAAUCUCUUUCGUUAAAAUAAAAAUAUAUUAGAGGACACAUCUCACAUCUUGGUUAGACAGGUCUGGGAGUUCAAUCAGCAUUCUCCAACCGUCUUGGUGUAGAAGGGUUGAACAAAGCAUCACUGAAGUUUGAAAAUUCUGGUCUCUCUUUUUUAUUUUUAAAAUUCUUUAAGGUUUAUUUGUUUUUGAUAAAGAGAGAGGCAGAGAGCGAGUCAGGGAGGGGCAGCGACAGAGAGGGGACACAGAAUCCAAAGCAGGCUCUAGGUUCUGAGCUGUCGGCACAGAGGGCUCGAAUUCGGGAACAGUGAGGUCAUGACCUGAGCUAAAGUCAGGUGUUUAACCCAGUGAGGCUCCCAGGCACCCCGAAAGUUUUGGUCUUUAGUUAAAUAUUUCACUCUUCUUAAUGUUAAACAUUUUUAAAACAAAAUAGUUUGGCCCAUUCAUUCAUAUGGCAGGUAAGAUGAAAUAAAUACAUUUUGAACUUUCGUUAUUGUAUAAUUAUAAUAGUUGUUAUUUCUCCACAAAUAUUAUAAGAACAUGACCCGUGCAGCCCUGUGGACUUUUUGUAGCAUGUUAAUAUUGUUAGGUUAUUUAGUAUUACUAUUAAAAAAGAAAACAUUAGGGGCGCCUGGGUGGCGCAGUCGGUUGAGCGUCCGACCUCAGCCAGGUCACGAU